rnacentral:misc_RNA from 1 species
GAUGAAGAACGUAGCGAAAUGCGAAAAGUAAUGUGAAUUGCAGAAUUCAGUGAACCAUCGAAUCUUUGAACGCACAUUGCGCCCCCUGGUAUUCCGGGGGGCAUGCCUGUCCGAGCGUCAUUACAACCCUCAAGCUCAGCUUGGUGUUGGGCCCCGCCGCCCCGGCGGGCCCUAAAGUCAGUGGCGGUGCCGUCCGGCUCCGAGCGUAGUAAUUCUUCUCGCUCUGGAGGUCCGGUCGUGUGCUCGCCAGCAACCCCCAAUUUUUUUCAGGUUGACCUCGGAUCAGGUAGGGAUACCCGCUGAACUUAAGCAUAUCAAUAAGCGGAGGA